rnacentral:rRNA from 1 species
UAAUAGACUACCCAGGUAGUCCACGCCCUAAACGAUGCGAACUGGAUGUUGGGUACAUUACGGUACUCAGUGUCGAAGCUAACGCGUUAAGUUCGCCGCCUGGGGAGUACGGUCGCAAGACUGAAACUCAAAGGAAUUGACGGGGGCCCGCACAAACGGUGGAGUAUGUGGUCUAAUUCGAUGCAACGCGAAGAACCUUACCUGGCCUUGACAUCUGUCGAAUCCUGCAGAGAUGCGGGAGUGCCGCAAGGAACGACAAGACAGGUGCUGCAUGGCUGUCGUCAGCUCGUGUCGUGAGAUGUUGGGUUAAGUCCCGCAACGAGCGCAACCCUUGUCCCUAGUUGCCAGCACGUAAUGGUGGGAACUCUAGGGAGACUGCCGGUGACAAACCGGAGGAAGGUGGGGAUGACGUCAAGUCCUCAUGGCCCUUACGGGCCAGGGCUACACACGUACUACAAUGGUCGGUACGAGAGGGUUGCGAAGCCGCGAGGUGGAGCCAAUCCCAGAAACCGAUCCCAGUCCGGAGUCGGAGU